rnacentral:rRNA from 1 species
GUACACGCUGUGACUAGCAUAUCAAUAAGCGGAGGAAAAGAAACUAACAAGGAUUCCCCUAGUAACGGCGAGUGAAGCGGGAAGAGCUCAAAUUUGAAAUCUUAAAGGGUUUCCCUUUACGAAUUGUAGUUUAAAGAAGUGUUUUCUGUUGAGGUUUUGGUAAAAGUUCUUUGGAAUAGGACAUCAUAGAGGGGUGAGAAUCCCGUAUUUGACCUUUACUUUCAACUUUGUGAUACACUUUCAAAGAGUCGGAUUGUUUGGGAAUGCAGUCCAAAAUGGGUGGUAAAUUUCAUCUAAAGCUAAAUAUUGGCGAGAGACCGAUAGCGAACAAGUACCGUGAGGGAAAGAUGAAAAGAACUUUGAAAAGAGAGUUAAACAGUACGUGAAAUUGUCAAAGGGAAGCGUUUGACACCAGUGUUGUUUUUCUGAAAAUCAAUUAAAGAACUGUUUAUGCUAAGCUUGUUUAGACUUUAUCAGCUAUCUGUUUAGUUUUGAGCUUUUCUUUAAUGCACUUUUCAGUUAACAAGUCAACAUCAAUUUCUUUUGCUGUAAAAAAGCUUGAGGAAGGUGGCUUGAGAUUCGUCUUAAGUGUUUAUAGCCUCUUGCCUAUGCAGUCGGAGAGAUUGAGGUCUGCAGCGUAGAUCCUUCGGGGCUAAAUGCAUUUGUGCUAAGUUAUAGCAUUUUAUAGACAACUUGUUGACUAUGAUUUGUCUUGUAGCUUACUCGCUUAUGUUAUUUUACCUACGCUUAGGAUGUUAAAGAUGUAGCACAUCAU